ACCUGCUCGGCGCCCGGGACACGGGCGCAGGGAAGCCGGGCCGACAGUGGGGUCGGGACUGCUCGCCAGGGCCGAGCGGGUUCCAGUCCAAGCUGUGGUCUAGAGUCUGGUCCUGAGGCCUAAGUUGUUCCUGGUCCGGGCCGGCUCUAGACUGGGUCCGUGGAAAGAAAGCGUCUGCCGAGCCGGCUCAGGCCUAGCCCGGGGCUUAGCCGGGCUCCGCUCCCCUGGCUCCCUGGUCUGCAGUGGCGGUUGGGCCCGGCACGCGCGAGGUCCGCCCCAGAGCCACAAGAGUCGGCGAGACCGGUGUCACCCUGUCCUGGCAUCCUCAGUGCAUUCUGCAAGCAAGGGGGAGAAUUGCCCUCCGGUGUGUGACUACUACGGCUGUCUGUGAUCAAUGCAGACACUUGCAGUGAACUGCACGUGGAGCUUUGGAAUUGAGGAAAAAAGAAGAGAUUUGGGAAGAAAUGCUGCCUUCGUGUAGUGCUGGUCAUGAAUUGCUGGGAACUGAACCUGGGGCUCUGUUCAAGCAUCUGCCAUCCAAACUCCAUCUUCAUCCCAAGGUCUUGAACAUCUGCCAUAGUCAAGCAAGUAGCUAGGAU